rnacentral:rRNA from 1 species
UACGGAGGGGACUAGCGUUGUUCGGAAUUACUGGGCGUAAAGCGCACGUAGGCGGAUUUGUUAGUCAGGGGUGAAAGCCCAGAGCUCAACUCUGGAAUUGCCUUUGAGACUGAGUGGCUUGAGUACGGGAGAGGUGAGUGGAAUUCCCAGUGUAGAGGUGAAAUUCGUAGAUAUUGGGAAGAACACCGGUGGCGAAGGCGGCUCACUGGCCCGUAACUGACGCUCAUGCACGACAGCGUGGGGAUCAAACAGG